GAUGAACGCUGGCGGCGUGCUUAACACAUGCAAGUCGAACGGAAAGGCCCAAGCUUGCUUGGGUGCUCGAGUGGCGAACGGGUGAGUAACACGUGGGUGAUCUGCCCUGCACUUUGGGAUAAGCCUGGGAAACUGGGUCUAAUACCGGAUAGGACCAUCGUUUAGUGUCGGUGGUGGAAAGUUUUUCGGUGUGGGAUGAGCUCGCGGCCUAUCAGCUUGUUGGUGGGGUAAUGGCCUACCAAGGCGUCGACGGGUAGCCGGCCUGAGAGGGUGUACGGCCACAUUGGGACUGAGCUACGGCCCAGACUCCUACGGGAGGCAGCAGUGGGGAAUAUUGCACAAUGGGCGCAAGCCUGAUGCAGCGACGCCGCGUGGGGGAUGACGGCCUUCGGGUUGUAAACUCCUUUCGCCAAGGACGAAGCGUUUUGUGACGGUACUUGGAGAAGAAGCACCGGCUAACUACGUG
rnacentral:rRNA from 1 species